rnacentral:rRNA from 1 species
ACGAACGCUGGCGGCGUGCUUAACACAUGCAAGUCGAACGGAAAGGCCCUGCUUUUGUGGGGUGCUCGAGUGGCGAACGGGUGAGUAACACGUGAGUAACCUGCCCUUGACUUUGGGAUAACUUCAGGAAACUGGGGCUAAUACCGGAUAGGAGCUCCUGCUGCAUGGUGGGGGUUGGAAAGUUUCGGCGGUUGGGGAUGGACUCGCGGCUUAUCAGCUUGUUGGUGGGGUAGUGGCUUACCAAGGCAUUGACGGGUAGCCGGCCUGAGAGGGUGACCGGCCACAUUGGGACUGAGAUACGGCCCAGACUCCUACGGGAGGCAGCAGUGGGGAAUAUUGCACAAUGGGCGGAAGCCUGAUGCAGCAACGCCGCGUGCGGGAUGACGGCCUUCGGGUUGUAAACCGCUUUCGCCUGUGACGAAGCGUGAGUGACGGUAAUGGGUAAAGAAGCACCGGCUAACUACGUG